rnacentral:rRNA from 1 species
GUGCCAGCCGCCGCGGUAAUACGUAGGGUGCAAGCGUUAAUCGGAAUUACUGGGCGUAAAGCGUGCGCAGGCGGUUUUGUAAGACGGAUGUGAAAUCCCCGGGCUCAACCUGGGAACUGCAUUCGUGACUGCAAGGCUAGAGUGCGUCAGAGGGAGGUGGAAUUCCGCGUGUAGCAGUGAAAUGCGUAGAUAUGCGGAGGAACAUCGAUGGCGAAGGCAGCCUCCUGGGAUGACACUGACGCUCAUGCACGAAAGCGUGGGGAGCAAACAGGAUUAGAUACCCUGGUAGUCCACGCCCUAAACGAUGUCAACUAGUUGUCGGGUCUUAAUUAACUCAGUAACGAAGCUAACGCGUGAAGUUGACCGCCUGGGGAGUACGGCCGCAAGGUUGAAACUCAAAGAAAUUGACGG